GCCCCGGCGCCUUGGGAAAGGAUUAACGUCGGGUCUGGGCGAGCUGGUACGAAAGGGUGUGGAUGAUGUUUCUCUUUCCUCUCAACUCUUUGAGAGUGGGUCAGAUGGAGCCCCAGCUCCGGGACCUCGGUCUGUUCCUCCGCAGUACUGAGGACAGAGGGACGAAAGGCAGAGCCCGGCGCCCUGUCUCUAGCCAGCACAUCCCUCCACGAACGAGCGUACGGGAGACCGGCCCUCGCUCCCCCAGCCCCCAUGCUUCCCUCUCCAGUGCUCACCCCGUUAGCCGCCCUCGCGCAGCCCGCGGCCGCUGCGCGGUCCCGAGGCGCGGGAGAGCCGGGGGGGCCUGGGCCCGGGGUGCGGACUGCUGCUGGCUCAGGGGCCGGCUUCUCCAGGUCUGCGCAGGUGGCUGGACUCGCCGCGGCUGCUGCGCGCGGGGCGACCUCCUGGCCUCCGCCUCGGCGGGCCUGCUGGGGCUCCCCCAGCCAGGUUGGGGCCGCUCCGCGGGCGGCAAACCCGGAACGGGCACGUUCUGCUCCCGGAACAGACUGUACACCUUGGCUGUAUCCGCUGCGGGGUGGCUGCCCCCGGGGCGCCGCAGCCGACUCGCGUCCCUUCCAGCCGGCUCGUAUCUGCCCAACGGGUCCCUCUGAGCAUGACCCAUGCCCACGAAGAGAGCCAGGGGGAAUAAACAUGGAGGAUCUGGAAUAAGGUCACUCAAGGAGACAGCGUGUGUCCAAGAAGUGAAUGAAAUCCAGUCCUCCAGCCUGCGGCUCAGAUCCAUUUCCUAGAUUCCCAUCCAGCCCCUCACUCCCUCGGGAUUCGAUGAGCUUCUGAUUGAUGCACUGCGAACACUUAUGGAGUCUACUAUGAUCCAAGCGCUGUGCUAAGCAUGCUACGUGAAUUGGCUCCUUUAACCAAAGAAAGGAGGUGUUGUGAUUUCCACGUACACAAAGGAGGAAACUGAGGCUGGGAAUAGUUACUGGCUUGCCCACGAUCACACAGCUGAUAAGCAGCUGAGGAAGUGUUCCAACCUUGGUCGUCGGCCACCUGAGCCCAAGCUUCUAAGACUGCACCACGUUGCCUUCACUCUGGGCUUGAGCCACAGCCGCCCUCCUGACAAUUGAGUGGUACCUUUUCCAGCCAUCUCUGCAGCUGUCCCCACCUAAGACUCUCCACCGCACGUUCCCCAGCCUCUUCCCUGACGGCUAGCCCACCACUCAAUUCCCAGGGGAUGGGUAUCAGAACUUUCUGUUCCCCUCUCCCUUCCCUGCUCAGGAAAAGAAGGGGAGCUAACUGUUUCCAGCAAGGCCCCUGACUCACCACGUGUCACUUCCCUACCCCUGAUUCCCGCUUCCCCCCUAAAGAGGCACAAAAUGUUGCUAGGCCAACUAACCCACCCCUUGGGUCUGGGGAGGGAAAUCGUCUCUGGAAACCCUGCAGAGAGAGUCCCAAGGGGCUACUAAAAAGAUUCCAGUGGGGAAAGUUUUGCCUGGACACGUGCACCAUGAGAGGGGAUGGCAGUCUGCUAGACACUCGAGGCGACCUCAUUGCUUACCCAUGUCUUGGAAUAACGCCGGCAGCCAGAGAGCUACCAGAACCUGAACUAACUUGGUCAAUAAGGACCAAAAACAAGGACCGCAUUUCUGCUCCCUUUGCUGAGACCCAGACUCUGGACAGAAUUCCAGGGAUUUUUCUUCCUUGGAAGUGACUGGACCUCCAGUCCUGAAUUCCUCUCCCCAGGAGAGCUUGUUACCCUGCUUAGAACAAAUAACACAUUUCCUGGUUAAUCAGUGGGCGGAAGAGCUGAAGGAAGGUUGAUUGGGCCCCCAGCCUUCCAGAUGGGAGCAGCUCACGGGCUCAGACGUCCUUGUCCAGAGACCGGGCAGCUGGGAUCCUGCACCGUGCAGCCUCAGCCUCCAGUCUGGAAGGUAGAGGCUGUAUGAAAAGGCGCCAGUUCCCUCCUGCUCAAGGCCUCCAAGGCCCACAGGGGCUGCCAAGACCACGCCACCUCAGACGCCGUGGCCUGGCAACCCCCCAGUACUCACAGCCACCCUGCUCUGGUCUGCCAGUACUGUCCCCUCCGGGUGCAGUGAAUGUUUCUGUCUUCGGUGAGCUCAGCUCUCAGCUAUGCUUGGCUUCUAUUUUCCCAUCUGAAAAUAGAGAUAAUGAUGCUUUUCUUGCCACCCCACCUUCAGGGCAAAUAGAUAACCAGCCCUAUCUACCCUGUGAUGGGAGGGGUUCAAUGACUGCUACUUUCAUUUGCCAGUUGAUAUUUCUGGAGCUUUUGAAAGGUACCAGGCACUGUGCUAAGUGUUUUACAGUCAUUCUCUUUUAAUCCUCAUAAUAACCUUCUGAAGAAAGUACUAUUAUUUCAUCAUGUAGCAGAAGAGGGAAUGAAAGCUCAGAGAGGUAAAAUGACUUACCCACAAUCACAAAGCUAGUACUUGGUUACACUAGGAUUCACUCCUGCUUUUCCUGGUUCCAGACACUAUACACAGGCCAGCUUCCAGAGGAGCAUUUCUCAGGAAUCGCACCUCUGGCUGCUGAUGUCUGGGAACCAGAAGCAUUCACAGCCUUUUGUGGUGUGGUGUGGGGUGUUUGGUGCUGAUGGACACAUGAAAUGGCUGUCACGAGCUGGCCCCCAUCAAGCACAUCCCACUCUUCUCAGGCCUAUUUACAGCUAGGGGUCUAUUUUAGGUCAAGGGCAGGCAAAAGUCAUCAUGGGGAGUUUCACUGAAUCUGAUUCCCUCUCACCAAGGGGAAGGAAGGAAAUAAGCUUACCCUACAUCAAGUCGUUCUCCAUUUCUGAGUAAGCCUCAUCUCAACCCUCAGCUUUUCUCUUUAGAGCACAGAUAGAGCAUCUACGUGGCCCUGUGAGGUAGGCAUCGUAACUUCCACUUCACAGACUCAGAGGGGUGAAGUCUCUUGCUCAAGGUCAUACAGCCAGGAGUCGAGCCAGGAUUCAACUAAAAGGUCUGACUGGCUCCAAAGUCCGUGCUGUUUCCACUACAGCACACUGCACUCACUCCAGGAUGUCCUGCAAUGAUGUGGAAUGGCAGCUCUUCAAAAUAACUGAUUUCACUCCGUUUCCCUUCAUUUCCAAUCCUUGAUACAAAGGUGGGCUGACCUGAAAGCUCUGUGCAUUUAGCUAAAGUUCAGACCACGUUUCCUAUUUACCUGCAUAAAUCCCUUCAGCUUCUGGCUGGAGUGGAAUCCUCUAGAACUCCUGGGGGCUGAAGCUUAACUUCUCCCCGAGCUGAGUCUCUGAAGACCUGAGCAGGAAAACGAUGUGAGCAGCCCGGAAGGUCUCCUUCUUUUAAUUCCCCCUGUAAGACCACAGGGGUUUCAGGUGCUCUCCUGGCGAUGAGGGAGUUAUUCAGAUAGGGACAGAUUACACACUGUAUUAUCCUUUCCAAAUGCCCAGGGAGAAAGCCCUGUGGGCUGAAGGACGAUGCAGCCCUAUCCUGGAUUCUGGAACGGCUGGGCAGGGAUUUGAGGACAAGUUGAGCAGGAAACAAUUUUCCUCAGCUGUUGCUGAGGUCUCCCAGCCUGUCCCCAUCUGGCUUCCUGCUGGGACACGGCAGCAUCCCUCACAGCCCAAGGGAUAGGGGUUUGGGGGGACAGAGCACAGGGGCUGCCGUAGGGUCUUUCCCAGAAUAAGCCCAUAAGCAGCUCACUCUUGAUCAAGACAAAGAAAGAGGGAUGACACCUUCUGCCACCACCUUCUGAUGUCCAUUUUCCCCUAAUUAUACACUGAGAAUCGGGAUACUCAGUGAGGUUUUCCCUGGUGCCCUGCAUCCCCUCUCUCUAGGACCCGAAGGCCCUUAGGGACAGGCCCAAACCCCCAGACUCCCCGGGACAGGGUACAGACACCAGGCUUCGGUGGGGUGGGAGGCGGGUAGGAGGAGGUGCAGAUCCCAGUGGGCCCCAGCCAGUCUACAUGACUCAUUCCUUGUUUCCGUCCACUCUGGUCUGAGUGCCUUGGCCCAGGGGCCUCGGGGAGGUUGUAACACAGGCUGGCCCCUCGCCCAUCGGGACUCAGCAGACAAAAAUUAAAGAUCUCACUCCUCAGGAACUCACACAGACAGCAGAGGCAUGCUCUGUGCUCUGCCUCACCAGACCAGACCUCAGGCCGGAGGGGGCUGAUGGCCAAGGGAGGGAGGAAAGGCAUCUCUGGCCCCUCCCCUCCUCCUCACCCUCCACCUCCAGUCCUGAAGCCCUGGCCGCCACGCACUUUCUUCUCACUCCUGCUCAGGCCCUGGCGUGAAGAUCCUGGUGCCACCAGCACCUCCUCAGCAGCACUCCGCCCCUCCCCACCUCUGCCCGAAGACAGCAGUGAGGGAGAAACAGACUUGUAAACAACGAAUCAUACAUUUUUCUGGUUGCACAGGGUUGAUGACACCAAAAACCUGCUCAACAGUCUUCAAUGGCUCCCCACUACCUCACAAAUCAAGCCCAGACUUCUUACUGGCCCCGCACCCAAGCGGGUCUCAUACCCUUCCCCUCCUGUUUGCAGAUACUCAACACAGUCCCACUCACCCAGAAUUACCCCCAGUUUCCCCACUCACGUCCCCUUACCCAGAUUCCUCGGCUCACACCAUUUUCGUCACCUGGGAUGUUCUUCCCACCCCUGCCUGCCUGUCCUUUAAUUCCCAUCUGAAAACUCCCACUUCUUCCAAGAAGACUUCCUAGAACCCCACCGCCAAGUCCAGAAAGCUCGCUCCCUCCACUGAACUCCUGUACCGCCCUCUGCCCCGCAUGACUAGUCCACCACUACAGGUCCCGGAGAAGUGGGAAAUCCACGGGGCUUUGGAGUGCCACUCGGCACCAUCAUUCACCAGCUGUGUCUCUUUGGCUAAAGUGACUUAACCUCUUUGAGCCAGUUUCCUCACCAGCAAGAGACUGUCAUAGUAGUCCUUUAAAGCACAGCGCCUAGAUACAACUGUAUUUACCAACACAACACUCCGGACCACAGCCGACUGGACCAGGGAUGAACACAUGACCCGGGGCAGCCUUUACAUUGGCUGGUCAGUGAGCUAAGGCUUCUGUACCUAAGACUUCUGUGGUCUGAUUUGAAUGCAUAUGUCAUUGGUUACUGGCCAAAUAAGAUCCUCUCUUGAAAAUUUGAACUAAGCCACUUGAUUUUGAAAGCCAAGCCCUGGGAUUAAAACAACAGGUAUGUCCUCAUUCCCGAGAGCUCACAGUCGAAGGGGGUCCAUAUAACCAGAGAACAACAAAGCCGAAGAGGUAUAAUGACUUGCCUGGGGUCACGCAGCUGGACAGUAACACAGAGAGGGCUGAAGCUCAGGUCUCUGGACCUGAAUUUGGUCCAGGGUAGUGGGCUUCUCUGACGGGCUCAAAAGGCAGUGGCCCUGAGCUGAUUGCCUGAAGAAGACCAAGGCUCCACCGUGCCCUGCAUCAACCUGUUCUGGGCAGCUUGGGAACAAGGCAGUCCUUCAAGGACAAGGUCAGAUCACAGCAGCGGGCACAGACCCUGGUUCUGGUCCUGCAUAUGCCCCCAGUGUCUCCCUGUUGUGCCCCUGGCCCUCCCCGGACUUCAGUUUCCUCAUGUAUAAAAGAGAGGGUUUUACUGGAUGAACUCAAAUUCCCUGUCAACACUAAGAUUUUGAUCUGAGGAGCAGACAGACAAGGGAUGGGCGUGGAUCCCACAGAAUGUGAACCCUGGAGAGGACCCCCCUGAGAGGGCAGCCAGCCUAUUCCUUCAAUUCACGGUUGAGGAAACUGAGGCCCGAAGCUGGAGAGAUGCUUGUCCAAGGUCACAUGACUGGCUACUGGCAGCCCCAGCACUUGAACCAGGGUCUCCUGACUCCCAGGCCUCUCAACUCUUUCUCUUUCAACUCCCUCAAGAAGCUAGGAGCUAUUUGGCUGUCUGGGCCAGGGAAGCCAAGAGUGGCUGUGCAUGUCAGCAGUGGGGCCUCAGAGCCUGAGAACAUCUCUGACAGCGUAGGUGCAAGUGGCAAAGCCGCUGGUGGGGAGGGACCGGGCUGGGAGCCAGGGAGGGUGUACUGGAGAUAAGCUGUCAGCAUCUCCCUUCUUCCAGAUGGCAAGAAGAAACAUAGAAGGGUCCAUGAUGAUUGAGGGGAAACAGUCCCCUUUUCUGAUUGAGCCAUUGCUCCACAGAGGACUGGCCUCCCUCUCUGCCCCCUCUCCUCUUUCUCUCUCUCUUUCUCUCUUUCUCACACACACACACACACACACACACACACACACACACACACACUCUAUUUAGCUGCUGUAUUCUGCCACCUGCAGUUUCAGUCUCAAGAUGUGUACUGACAUUCUCAGGUGUACUAUUUGGUGGGGCUUGGAGUUCCUUUCGCUGCCUGAGCUGCCUCUGAGCUCCUGCCUACCUUCUAAUGCUUAGCCUGCUUGGCUGGCAUCAGGAGACCUUCCCAUUCCACAAACAUUUUUUGAGCACCUGGUUUGUGCCAAACACUGUGUUAGGCACUGGGGGUGGGUAGGAUAUCGUCACUGCCUGUGGGAUGGGAAUUAACCAUCUGGUGGGCUCACUGAAGAAAACCCACUAACCAUGCAAGUGGGGUUGGCUAGGGAGCAUUUCUCAGAGAGUCCUGACUUUGACUUGAAUCUUGAAGGCUAAGGGAGAGUUCACUAUGUAGGAGGGGGGACAUGCCAAGGAGAAGCAGUGCAUAGGGAAAGGCAGGGAUGUAAGAUGAAGCCUGGUCUGUUAGGGGGAAUGACAAGUAACUUAUGUGGUUGGAGUUUGGAUAGGAAUGGGGUUAUGGAAGGAGAUGAGGCUGGAGGGGUAGGCUGAGGUCAAUUAAUGGCGUGCUUAGCUCUAGUCAGCUCCUUUUCUCAGAAAGAAGGACCCGUUCCCCACAUCUAAGCCACCAGCUGGCCCUGGAGGGGACAGACUAUUUAUCAGGAAUUCUGAGACUGAUGUCCUCUGGUCAAUUGCAAGGAGUCAUUUGUGUGAGGAGGAAGUGGCAUGCUCUUAAUCUCCAUCAACCCACCCAAAGUCAUUCCAAAUGAACACCAAUCGACACGAAGCCAGUGAAUUUGCCAUGCUUAGAAACAAUCCCCUCCAACCAGUCUGUCCCCCAACAUGGCUCCUCUAUUAUAGAAAUUGCGGAACUGCUAAUAGAGCAAGUCUUGCCCGGCCCCUGUCCUGAUGCCAUGACCCACCAACCCAACUAUGUCCCUUCUUCGCCAACCCUUUCCCCAGGUACCUCUAUUGUCUGAAUUCCCCCCUCUCUCUGGACCCCUGGAGACUCAGCCCCCCAGUCAGGCUCCUGUCCCCUAGUCUCACUCGUCCUGGGCCUCAGGUCCCUCUGUAAUCCCACAAGCUCAUGUUGCUGAAGUUACAUCAUGCCUGAGUAUCAUAAUAUACAUAUCCAAGCCCACGCACUCUGCAGCCUCCCUCAUAGCUCUGCCCCAUAGAGAGGUAAGCCAUAUGGGCUUGAUGUCAAACGGAUAUUCUGGGGAGUGCCCUGUGCAUUUCAGCCAUCGUUCACUGAACAUCUUUUUGUCAGGCAUCAGCAUUGCCAGGAAGAAUAAGGCUUAUUCCCUGCCCUCAAGGAGUGUCCAGUGUAGUAGGAAAGGCAGCAACACCUAUCAUGGUAAGUGCUGUGACUGAGAUAAUCUCAGGGAGCAAUGUGAAUACAAGGGCAGAGCACUCCAGGCUGGGAAUAUGGGACAGUUGGUCAGGGAAGAUCCUAGAGAGGAUUCUAUCUGAGUGGGGUCUGGAAGGCAGGGCAAGUCUCAGCUCAGAGAAGGUGGAAAAGAUGGUGAGGAAGAGGCACAGUGAUGACUACUAGAGCCAAGUUUGCAAAAAUUAAAUCACACCAGGGUCUACCCCAUUUCCUUUUUUGGAUGGGGUCCCUGAUCAGAGAAAUUUUGUCAGAUUUUUGAAUGAUAGUUGAAUGAAAUUCAAGUGAUAUUUAAUGUGGAUAGGCUGGGGAAAAUACAGAGCCUACAGUAAGGCAAUUAUGUGGGGAAACAAUUACUCCCCACAUUGAAGGAUGGAUGGAGGUCACUGAGAUCUAUAGUAGCACAUGAGACAGGGCUGGGGCCUGUGCAAGACUUCUCACAAUUUGGAUGAAGUCAGAAAAAGCAUUUUUAUCAAAUUAUCACAUGACAUAGCACUGGAGGGAUAAAUGAGAAACUGGAGGAUAGAAGCAAGAUUUAUACUGAUACAGAUAAGUUGAGAUUUAAUAGAGAUAAGUGAAAAAGUCUUGCAUCUUAGUCCAAAAAAGGCAAUAAUUAAAGAAUGAGAGACACUUGCUUCGAUAGCAGUUCAGUGA